rnacentral:rRNA from 1 species
AUUGAACGCUGGCGGCAGGCGUAACACAUGCAAGUCGAGCGAGCGGCGGACGGGUGAGUACUGUCUGGGAAACUGCCUACUGGAGGGGGAUAACUAAUGGAAACGGUAGCUAAUACCGCAUACCAUCAGAUGUGCCCAGAUGGGAUUAGCUAGUAGGUGGGGUAAUGGCUCACCUAGGCGACGAUCCCUAGCUGGUCUGCGAGGAUGACCAGCCACACUGGAACUGAGUCACGGUCAAGACUCCUGCGGUAGGCAGCAGUGGGGAAUAUUGCACAAUGGGAGCAAGCCUGAUGCAGCCAUGCCGCGUGUGUGAAGAAGGCCUUCGGGUUGUAAAGCACUUUCAGCGAGGAGGCGUUACUCGCAGAAGAAGCACCGGCUAACUCCGUGCCAGCGGCCGCGGUAAUUC